UUGGAACCGGUCGCGGGCUCCGCCGCUCCCGUCACGUGGUGCCGCCGUUAGCUCGCGGUGCGGUCUCGUGCGCUCUCUCGCCGUUUCCCGCCGCAAACUCGCGCUGCUGUGCAAGUGGCGAGUCGCGUGCGCACGCGAUGCGCUCGGCGCGCGAUCCGUCCCUUCUCUGACUUGUCCAAGUGUCGUGUUUUCCGCUGAAGGAGGACUAGUGAAGAAUGCAGCUUCUCACCUGCACAACUUUUUUGGGAUUUCUCCUUGGAACAGUGGACACGAUCAACAUGUUCCAUCGCUCGCUGAAUGUGGAAAGCAGGGAAAACAUCUGUCACGGAGGAGAGCAUCGAGCCGGAGGAAGCAGGCACUGUCAUGGUAACGGCGGCAUUGCCCUGCAGAUCCAGUGCUACCAGUGUGAGGAGGUGAAGCACAAUGACUGCUCCUCGCCCGAGUUCAUCGUCAACUGCACGGUCAACGUGCAGGACAUGUGCCAGAAGGAGGUGCUCGUGAAGGAGGAUGGGAUUCACUACCGCAAGUCGUGCGCCUCGUCGGGGGCCUGCCUCAUCGCUUCCUCGGGCUACCAGCAGUUCUGCACCGGGAAGCUGCAUUCAGUUUGCAUCAGCUGCUGCAACACACCGCUCUGCAAUGGGCCGCGGCAGAAGAAGCGUCCGGUCCCAUCGACGGCCCCCGCAGCCCGGCCGUGUGUCUCCUUCCGGCUCUUCGAACGCCUCCUUUUUUUACUCCUCCUUCUCUUGCUAACGUAGAGAAUACGCCUUCUGAGACUCUGUUUCAGUACUGCUUUUUCUACAUGCUCUGAUCUCCAAAAAAAGGAGCCUUAGCAUUCUGUGGUUCAUUUUUGAAGUUGGAUUUAAUUAGUAGUUUGCUUCGCGCUCUUGUGGGUUCUCCUCUUCAUCCGCAUUUCUCACGCCAACCUUAACGCGCCUAUCGUUUGAGCAGUUUAGUGCUACGUGAGCCUGUAGGGCCACACUGUAUGACAUUAAAUCACAGCAGGUACACGGGCCAACGCUGGGUCGCCUGCUCUCGAUCGCCGUAGCGUAGAGGCCCCGGAGACAUCCACCAGGCGUUCGCUUCCUGCUGUGUUUGGGUGAGAAAGCACUGUGACAGUCACAGGAUAGUAAAUGCACAGUUCGAAUGAUAAAGCAAACCACAUGCAUCAGUCAACAUUUACAUUUUUUAAUUAUAGAAAUACCUGCAAGGCACUGAUCUGCAUUUAUUUAUGAGGUCAUUUAGACAUACACAAUAAAAAUAUUGCUUAAAAAGUAAAAAAUAUUUCAUUUGCAUCUCGUUACGUUACAUCCUUUUAUAUAUCUUAAUAUGGUUCGAGUGUAAACUCUGUAUUAGUAUAUGAAAAUCAAAUUACCGAUAUUUUUAGUAUUCUCUUAAACUGCUUUCUUGUUAUGCUUCUCUUGUUCCAAGAGAACUGCCUAGAAGCAGUUCACUUUGUUGUAACCAUAAAUUUACAUUUUGAACACAGAAGGGGUUCCUUGCAGAAAUACUUUUAUUGCAGGAAGAGACAGAUUUUUCAGAUUUCCAGGUAUGAGCUCUUAAUAACACCUGUAUUUCACCAAGGACACUGGAAAAUAUACAUUUCUGUGUUUACCAAAUUUUUGCAGAAACUCCUUUGAAAGCCUUUCCGAAGUAACAUUGCCAGUAUUCACAAUUUAUUUGUCAUACUGUUAUGGUGUUAAUUUGGUGUUUUAGCUCCAUGGUAAACAACAACCUGAGGAACCAGGAGCUGGACUAUUUACAGUUACUUCAACUUUUCUGCAGCAGGCAAUUGCAGUUUAGUAACUUCAGAACAACACAUGGUGGGGGGGACUUGAUGUAUGCUAUGGAUACAUACUUGACACACUUGACCCUCUGCAGCCUGCUGGUUGAGUGUGGAGCUCAGCUCUGGAACUUCGGAAAUUAUGAGUGGAUGGAUUCAGUGAGCUGAGUCAAGGGGGGCUUUGAAACAUGGGACAGAGUGUUGGGUUCGCUGCUGGUUUCGGCAGGUUGGCCUUGGUGCAGCGAGCGGAGCAUGAGGGGCCGCGUGG